AAUUAUGUUAAAAUGAGCCCCAAUAUUCUAUGUAACUAUAAUAAAUUAAUAAAAAAGCCAAAAACAAAACAAAACAAGCAGAAAGACACAGGGUAGCUGGGCCACGGAGAGCAUUGGUGUUGAUGGAUUCCAGAAGACCAGCGGUAGUAGCCCCCAACUCCCCACAAUCCCAAAGAGAAACAGUCAAUAUAUUUUGCUGCUGCCUGUCCUGUUCUUUUCUCCACUUAGGAAAGCUAUGGAGAAGUCACUCUCUUCCUGACUGUGUGAACAAGUGCGGUUUAGCGAGGCACUAGGAGACACUAUCCUCAACUUUAAUUGCAGCCGCCCCCAGUAACUAAAAGCCAGACAAACCCACUGAAGGGAGAAACCAGAUCUUCUCUCUUCCUCCUUACCCUGUGAAAUCUGCACAUCGUUGACAGAAGGUUGAUUUAAAAUUACACUAAUUGACAGUGAAAGACUUCAUAUAAUCCUGUUUAUAUGACCUCCAAUAAUGUUGAGAGAUCAAAUAAAAAUCCUACCCUGGCAAUUUUCAGAAGCCGUCACAGACUAUAACAGAAGUGAUUUAGAUGAAUGAACUUAACACUUUCCACAAAAUGUGAAUUUGCAUUUUACACCAAGCCCAUCAGUCACCAGGCCUGCUCCAAAAGACAACUUCUGUGGGGACCAAGUACCUGCAUAUUAUCAGGAAUCAUUGUAUUUACAUCCUUACCUAAAUGUGGUAAUAAGCUGUGCCUAAAACCCAGUCACAAUCACAUUGGGACCAGGAAUACAUUACUCCAGACAUUCCCAGCCCUGCUAACUGACUGCUCAAUGAGCAACUUGAAAAUGCCCCUCAUUUGGAGAAAAUUUCAACAGGGUGUGUCCUCUGUGUCAUCAAACCAAUCUCAGUUAUAACUUCCAGGCUGCAGGCACCAUGGUCUCCUUCCCUGAUCCUGGCUCCCUGUGGCUGCAAGGAAGCAAGUUUGAUGGUUUUCCUCCACUGCCACGUGCUCAGGGCCUCCUCAGGUGCUUGUUCUGCACCAGUGGUCUGCACGGAGAGCAAACACAAAGACACAGCUUUGCAAGCUUAUUUAAUCUAGAAUCUAACUUUCUUGUUGAGUUUGAGUUGAGGAGGAAAAAGCAGGGAACUGGCUGUUCCCUGUAAGAAAGAGGCAGGUUGAUGCAGAAAGACUCAGAAUCAGAGCUGGAGUAAGAAAAUCCAGAUGGAAAUGAAGACUGCCUCACAGCCCUUUCUUCUGUGAAUGGGGAGAUCAGGAUACUGGAACAGAGUCAGUGAGACUGUGGUGGAGGGUGGAGAGGGGCUCAACCCACGGACCCCAAGCACAUGAGACUGAGGUGAGAAUACUGGAUGGACGGCUGUUACGAAAGCUUUCAAGGCUUGCUGAUUCCCUGGGCUCUGAAGGUCUGCCACGGAGUGUGCUCCAUCCUGGAGGCAAGGAAAACCCAAUGGCAUCAGAAAACCUGAGACUGAGUAACUCAUAAGGAAAAGAAGCACAUUUAGCUCACAGUUCUGGAAGCUGAGAAGUCCAAGAGAAUGGCACCAGCACCUUCCUGGCCUCUGGUGAGGACUGCAGUACAACAUGGCAGAACAGCCAAAGGUCCAGUGGAUGUAUGCAGAAGAGACAGGACACUAGGGACCCAUUUGCUUUAUAACGACUCACUCUGGAGAUUUUGAUGAGAAUCACAAAAGAAAGGGCGAUGGGAGAACAUAAAACAGGAAGUCUGCAGGAUCCAGGGAACGCUUCCCAAGGAAAUGACUGAUGAAAGGGAUGAGGAGAAUGGAGUUACACACUAAAGAUGAAGCGGAGCAUCCCAGCAGAGGGAAACAGAGACUGGUUCUGGAGCUGGGCUACUCAGACCUGCUUAGCCUUACUUUUGGGCCUGGGAAAUUGGACUGAAGAUACCACACUUUGUUUCAUGAGAGUUUUCCAACUUGUGUCUUGGAAAAAUAUGUUUCUUCUAGAUAGGACGUGCAAACCUUAAUAAACCUAAAUCCCAUCGACCGUCUCAGCCAGCUAGAGCAACGGAAAGCAGUACAGUAGAGCUGCAGUACUCCAACUAUGAUCUGUGGACAGACGUCAAUGAGAAAAGCACAGAAAAAUUGAAAGCAAGCCUUUAGAGACUCCUAGGUCAAUUUGAUGUUGCCAUGAUUUCUAAGUUGUCACAUGAACUGGGACCAUGCAGCACCUGCAAGGUUUGAAAACUUAAAACAAAACAAAACAAACAAACAGCAACAACAACAAAAAAAAAACCCA